GCCUCGAUGUGCAGGCGGACCCGCUCGCCGCCCUCGGCGGGGGCGGCGAUCCGUACCCACUGGUUGCGCGGGUUCAGGCCCUUCACCGGGGUGCC
rnacentral:tRNA from 1 species